GCAGUGUUCAUCACGGUCGUGCAGGUGUGUCGGUUUCAUAAUUUCUUAGGUUCGAGCCUUUGCGGCUGUCAGCAUGGGUCCAGAGACUAUCCCCUGAUGUGAUUCGCUCCCUGUUUAGGUGCUUGUGGCCCUCCAGGGUUGUAAAGCAGGGAUCCUUCAGAGUAGAUGGCCAAGCUCUGGCCAACUCAUCUGUUUGCCUGCUUUUGCAUGCAGGGAUGGGGUCGCGUGGUUGCCAGGACGUGGCGAUAAGAAGCAUCACUCGGAGGCGCGUUUCACGUAGAAGGAGUUUUCUUUUACUACCCUCGGAUGACUUCCUUCGUCACGCGUGGAUCUGCUCUAAGGCUGCCUGCCUGCCGGCCGCCUGCGGAAGUCCUCCCUGGGGCCUUUGCCGCCCGGAGCUGCCAGGCAUCGCGGGCGCGCCCACACAGAGGACCUGCGAACCGACCAGCUUCUCGGAGGGGAUGGGGUCGCGUGGUUGCCAGGACGUGGCGAUAAGAAGCAUCACUCGGAGGCGCGUUUCACGUAGAAGGAGUUUUCUUUUACUACCCUCGGAUGACUUCCUUCGUCACGCGUGGAUCUGCUCUAAGGUGUGGUGGGGACAGUUGGGAAUCUCCUGGAGUUUAGCGUGCAGGUGCUG
rnacentral:lncRNA from 1 species